rnacentral:rRNA from 1 species
GAUGAACGCUGGCGGCGUGCCUAAUACAUGCAAGUCGAGCGAACGGACGAGAAGCUUGCUUCUCUGAUGUUAGCAGCGGACGGGUGAGUAACACGUGGAUAACCUACCUAUAAGACUGGGAUAACUUCGGGAAACCGUAGCUAAUACCGGAUAAUAUUUUGAACCGCAUGGUUCAAAAGUGAAAGACGGUCUUGCUGUCACUUAUAGAUGGAUCCGCGCUGCAUUAGCUAGUUGGUAAGGUAACGGCUUACCAAGGCAACGAUGCAUAGCCGACCUGAGAGGGUGAUCGGCCACACUGGAACUGAGACACGGUCCAGACUCCUACGGGAGGCAGCAGUAGGGAAUCUUCCGCAAUGGGCGAAAGCCUGACGGAGCAACGCCGCGUGAGUGAUGAAGGUCUCCGGAUCGUAAAACUCUGUUAUUAGGGAAGAACAUAUGUGUAAGUAACUGUGCACAUCUUGACGGUACCUAAUCAGAAAGCCACGGCUAACUACGUG